AACAGACUUGACUGUCUUUCUUCUGAGAACUGUAAAAAACAUUCCUGGAACCUAAUAAUACAAAUACAACACACUGAUGUUUGCAUGAUUUUCUGUGUGUUUCUAGAAGACAGACAAGAGCAGUACAGAACUGGCAUAAAAUCAGAGCAGCAGAGGCUUCUGUUUAUCACAAACCUGUUGAAAAGUGGACACAUUAUUUUAGCCAGACCUGAAGAGAAGAUCCUUGCUGAAGACCCUGAAGAAGUAACUAGCCUACAAGAUUGAGUCAAGAAUGAUUUGAUCCUUAACUUUUGUUCUUUAGGUCACUCUGUUGCGUCAAGAUGGAAUGUGCUGGCUUUUUUAGGAGGCAGCAUCCUCCUGAAUCUUUUGAGGAAGGGGAAAGAAACUCAGCUGAUGACAAUUUAGAUGACAUAGUUAAUGAGUUGUUAUUGUCUUUUGAUGAAUUUAAGAAAUUAGAUAAAGCUAAAAAAGAGAUUGAAAAAAAAUAUGACAUUAAACCACAAGAUCAUAACUGCUGGCCAGAAGAUGAUAUCAAACAAGCUUGGAAAGAAACAAAAACAAUGGGUAAAAAAAACAGACAGAAAAAAACAAUGGGCUCGUGUGAUCUUUUUUCAGGUGGGUAAAAAGUUUUGUUUGUGAUACUUGUAAACAAAAUGCAGCACAGAAGAAUCGUCAUGUUACAACUGAUGAACAAGACUGUGCAACGACACCAAACUCAGAAGACACAUCAUCUCAAAGCAGUGAUAAACUGGAGACAGUGGAGCUGAUGGAGGAGAUAAGCAACAAACAACAAAUCAAGGGCAAACAGGUAGUGUCAGUCAGGGCCAAACUGGGACAUCAUUUCAGCCCAGGAGACAGUCCAGUGGGAAUGAUCCUGGUGCUCCCAAUGACCAGUCCGGGACGGAUGGCAGUGCAGCAUCAGAAAGAGAAACAGGAGCAAGGAAGCGUAGAUUAAAUGAGCGUAGAUUAGAUGACACCAUCUACAUACGUAUCCCACUCACAAAAAUGUUUGGCAAUAAAGCAAUCUCAACAGAAAAAAGAAACAAAUUUGCAUUCUCUAUAUAAACUAAUAGAUAGACCUCCUGAGAAAAGUAAACAGGAAACAGAUGAAGAAACAGAAGAAACUGAAAUUAAGAAAAACAGAUUUUAUGUCAUGUUAUUCAACAAAGAGAAAAAUCAUGCUGAAUGGGUGUAUGAAAUACUGAAUAAGAAAACUUUACCUUUUAUUAUGAAAAACCAAAAUUUAAAGAUGACCAAAAGGAUCCAGACUUCCAAAAUCCUGAGAAAAGGAAUCCAGACUAUGAUCAAGGUCAUCUUGCUGCGGCUGCCAAUCAUAAGUGGUGUCAGGAAGCCUAUAAGGACACUUAUUUGAUGAGCAACAUAACACCACAGAAUAAGAACUUAAACAGAGGCGCCUGGAAACAUUGGAGAUUUACUGUCGAGAUAAAAUAUUCAACAGUAUGUCUGUAAUGUCCAUGUGUACACUGGACCACUUUACCUGAACAAAGAAGAGAAAUCGGGUGAGGAAAACUUUUGUAUGCUUCACAGUAGUGAAAUUGAUUAUGAGGAUGGGAAGCACUGCCAACUCACUACUUUAAAGUGUUAAUCGUGGAGGAUGAGGAUGGACUGUAAGUGACUUAGAAUGUUUUUGGAUAUCCAAUAACAAAGAACAAAAGUACAAACCAUUGGACAUUGAAGAGAUUGAAAGACUCUCUGGUCUGAUGUUUAUAGAUAACAGUCCCAAAUUGACAGAGGUGGACUAUACAAAGACGACGACAUGGACGGGAAACAAAGGUGAAACAAGUGUAACAAUAGACGUCACAAUAAGCUCCUAAGAAAAAAUGAUGAAGACGUCCAUCAUUAGGAUCUUAAUGAAGAAUAACUUCUAUUGCAGUGUAGCAGUGACAAAGUACAUGCAGCACUUUGGAUUCAGCAGAUUCAGAAUGAACCCUGAACAUCCUAAACUCAAACCUUUUAUACAGUUACAGUUUACU